UUAAGCGACUAAGCGUACACGGUGGAUGCCCUGGCAGUCAGAGGCGAUGAAGGACGUGCUAAUCUGCGAUAAGCGUCGGUAAGGUGAUAUGAACCGUUAUAACCGGCGAUUUCCGAAUGGGGAAACCCAGUGUGAUUCGUCACACUAUCAUUAACUGAAUCCAUAGGUUAAUGAGGCGAACCGGGGGAACUGAAACAUCUAAGUACCCCGAGGAAAAGAAAUCAACCGAGAUUCCCCCAGUAGCGGCGAGCGAACGGGGAGCAGCCCAGAGCCUGAAUCAGUGUGUGUGUUAGUGGAAGCGUCUGGAAAGGCGUGCGAUACAGGGUGACAGCCCCGUACACAAAAAUGCACAUGCUGUGAGCUCGAUGAGUAGGGCGGGACACGUGGUAUCCUGUCUGAAUAUGGGGGGACCAUCCUCCAAGGCUAAAUACUCCUGACUGACCGAUAGUGAACCAGUACCGUGAGGGAAAGGCGAAAAGAACCCCGGCGAGGGGAGUGAAAAAGAACCUGAAACCGUGUACGUACAAGCAGUGGGAGCACAGAGCAAUCUGUGUGACUGCGUACCUUUUGUAUAAUGGGUCAGCGACUUAUAUUCUGUAGCAAGGUUAACCGAAUAGGGGAGCCGAAGGGAAACCGAGUCUUAACUGGGCGUUAAGUUGCAGGGUAUAGACCCGAAACCCGGUGAUCUAGCCAUGGGCAGGUUGAAGGUUGGGUAACACUAACUGGAGGACCGAACCGACUAAUGUUGAAAAAUUAGCGGAUGACUUGUGGCUGGGGGUGAAAGGCCAAUCAAACCGGGAGAUAGCUGGUUCUCCCCGAAAGCUAUUUAGGUAGCGCCUCGUGAAUUCAUCUCCGGGGGUAGAGCACUGUUUCGGCAAGGGGGUCAUCCCGACUUACCAACCCGAUGCAAACUGCGAAUACCGGAGAAUGUUAUCACGGGAGACACACGGCGGGUGCUAACGUCCGUCGUGAAGAGGGAAACAACCCAGACCGCCAGCUAAGGUCCCAAAGUCAUGGUUAAGUGGGAAACGAUGUGGGAAGGCCCAGACAGCCAGGAUGUUGGCUUAGAAGCAGCCAUCAUUUAAAGAAAGCGUAAUAGCUCACUGGUCGAGUCGGCCUGCGCGGAAGAUGUAACGGGGCUAAACCAUGCACCGAAGCUGCGGCAGCGACGCUUAUGCGUUGUUGGGUAGGGGAGCGUUCUGUAAGCCUGCGAAGGUGUGCUGUGAGGCAUGCUGGAGGUAUCAGAAGUGCGAAUGCUGACAUAAGUAACGAUAAAGCGGGUGAAAAGCCCGCUCGCCGGAAGACCAAGGGUUCCUGUCCAACGUUAAUCGGGGCAGGGUGAGUCGACCCCUAAGGCGAGGCCGAAAGGCGUAGUCGAUGGGAAACAGGUUAAUAUUCCUGUACUUGGUGUUACUGCGAAGGGGGGACGGAGAAGGCUAUGUUGGCCGGGCGACGGUUGUCCCGGUUUAAGCGUGUAGGCUGGUUUUCCAGGCAAAUCCGGAAAAUCAAGGCUGAGGCGUGAUGACGAGGCACUACGGUGCUGAAGCAACAAAUGCCCUGCUUCCAGGAAAAGCCUCUAAGCAUCAGGUAACAUCAAAUCGUACCCCAAACCGACACAGGUGGUCAGGUAGAGAAUACCAAGGCGCUUGAGAGAACUCGGGUGAAGGAACUAGGCAAAAUGGUGCCGUAACUUCGGGAGAAGGCACGCUGAUAUGUAGGUGAAGCGACUUGCUCGUGGAGCUGAAAUCAGUCGAAGAUACCAGCUGGCUGCAACUGUUUAUUAAAAACACAGCACUGUGCAAACACGAAAGUGGACGUAUACGGUGUGACGCCUGCCCGGUGCCGGAAGGUUAAUUGAUGGGGUCAGCGCAAGCGAAGCUCUUGAUCGAAGCCCCGGUAAACGGCGGCCGUAACUAUAACGGUCCUAAGGUAGCGAAAUUCCUUGUCGGGUAAGUUCCGACCUGCACGAAUGGCGUAAUGAUGGCCAGGCUGUCUCCACCCGAGACUCAGUGAAAUUGAACUCGCUGUGAAGAUGCAGUGUACCCGCGGCAAGACGGAAAGACCCCGUGAACCUUUACUAUAGCUUGACACUGAACAUUGAGCCUUGAUGUGUAGGAUAGGUGGGAGGCUUUGAAGUGUGGACGCCAGUCUGCAUGGAGCCGACCUUGAAAUACCACCCUUUAAUGUUUGAUGUUCUAACGUUGACCCGUGAUCCGGGUUGCGGACAGUGUCUGGUGGGUAGUUUGACUGGGGCGGUCUCCUCCUAAAGAGUAACGGAGGAGCACGAAGGUUGGCUAAUCCUGGUCGGACAUCAGGAGGUUAGUGCAAUGGCAUAAGCCAGCUUGACUGCGAGCGUGACGGCGCGAGCAGGUGCGAAAGCAGGUCAUAGUGAUCCGGUGGUUCUGAAUGGAAGGGCCAUCGCUCAACGGAUAAAAGGUACUCCGGGGAUAACAGGCUGAUACCGCCCAAGAGUUCAUAUCGACGGCGGUGUUUGGCACCUCGAUGUCGGCUCAUCACAUCCUGGGGCUGAAGUAGGUCCCAAGGGUAUGGCUGUUCGCCAUUUAAAGUGGUACGCGAGCUGGGUUUAGAACGUCGUGAGACAGUUCGGUCCCUAUCUGCCGUGGGCGCUGGAGAACUGAGGGGGGCUGCUCCUAGUACGAGAGGACCGGAGUGGACGCAUCACUGGUGUUCGGGUUGUCAUGCCAAUGGCACUGCCCGGUAGCUAAAUGCGGAAGAGAUAAGUGCUGAAAGCAUCUAAGCACGAAACUUGCCCCGAGAUGAGUUCUCCCUGACUCCUUGAGAGUCCUGAAGGAACGUUGAAGACGACGACGUUGAUAGGCCGGGUGUGUAAGCGCAGCGAUGCGUUGAGCUAACCGGUACUAAUGAACCGUGAGGCUUAACCU
rnacentral:rRNA from 1 species